CUGGGAAGCCCUGGCCCUUGAGCGCUCUAACUGGAGGUCAGCUGUGUCCAAUAGUGCUGCAGAAUUGGAAGAGGCACAAGUGGAGGGCUUAAGGGAGAAUGUGCUAAGAGGAAGGCGCAUCAAACCAACCCUAACCGGACCGCCUUCAAUCUGGAAACUAAUGUCUUCACUGCGGAAGAACAUGAGGGUCAAGAAUAGGUCUCCACAGCCAUCAUCCUCAGACUACGAGGGAUCGCCUAAGUAACAGAUCGAUAGCCACGCUUCUCCCUCCCUCCCUCUUCCGCUCUGAUUGGCUGAGAGGCAUGCCAACAUGGCUUCUCCUCUCAGAGGGGCUACAGCUUCAUCCGAAGACAUCAGAAACUAACGAAAAAAGCAGCCCUGUGAAAAAGGCCAAGCUGGGAAAGAUUAAUUGCCUCCCAAAUCCACCCAUGAAUUUUAUUGACUCUGCAGGAGCCUGUGCCUGGACCUCCAACACUCUUACCACUAUGCCCACUUGUCGAUGGAUGUCCAAAACCAGCAGCAUCCACUGCGGUCCUUUUUAUCCUGGGUGACGACCGAGCCAGUACAGACUUCGUUUUGGUUUCAUUCUCCAUAAUGCUAAUGGGUUAGGUGCUCUUGGUUCCACUUCUCACCUGAAGCCUCUCUGGCUUGGUUGGACCUGCUGGUAAUUACACUACCAUCAGCACAGCUCUCAGUCAUCACUGAAGCAGUUAAGCCCCCACCACCACCACCACCACCACGACAAGGUGAUACCUACAGGGGAUCACAAACCUGCAAAAGUAUUGGAAUAUGAGCACGCAAAACUACUGUGGGACUUCAAAGACUCUGGCAGAAAGCAGUGUAGGUGGUCCCAGUGGUGAUUGGCACAUUGGGUGCCGUGCCAAAAGAUCUCAGCCAGCAUUUGGAAACAAUAGACAUUGACAAAAUUACGAUCUGCAAAAAGCCACCCUACUGGGAUCUGCACGCAUCAUCCGAAAAUACAUCCUAGACCCUUGAGAAGUGUUCGACUUGUGAUUUUGUGAUACGAAAUCCAGCAUAUCUAUUCUGUUUGCUGUGUCAUACAAUAAUAAUAAUAAUAAUAAUAAUAAUAAUAAUAAUAAUAAUAAUAAUAAUAAUAAAAAAUAUACCCGGGAUCUGAAGCCUGAACACGCAUAAUGUGCUAGCAGAGCUUGGUAAAGUUAUUGUUAGGAUAAUGCUACUGAAUUUUUAAAGCAUUCUUUAGCUACACAUGAUUUACUCUAUGUUAUACUUUUAAAAAUUGUUCAUGUUUGUUUUGUGUGCAAAUGGUCUGUAACAUUUCUAAACUAAUCUAUACCUUUUUGGAUUGUAAUUCCCAGAAUCCCAUAGCAAACAUGUCAGGAAGAUUCUGGGAAUGCUAGUUUUAAAAAGUAAGCUUUCCAAGCCCAGUGGGGGGAAAUCUUAGCAGUGGCCACAGGAAUGUGCCCCACUGCAUGGGCAAUUUUCCAUUUCCAUGCCCAUACCGUGCUUGAUUAUUAUCCAGAUUUGAGGGAAGAAACUGCAGCUGGUCUUGCGGCCCCUGUGGGUUUGGCUGUGCCACCAGGGACACCCUUUAGGAUUGUGCUUUUCCAGCCCUCUGGCCGCCUUUGCUGGGGAGUAGCCCAGUAUUAGCUGUAAUAUGGUAACCAUGUCAAGCUCUGUUGAUAGGGCGGCCUUCCUGCUUUCAGGGCAGCAGCAUGGCAGGGAGUGUUGUGGUUACAGACUUCAGUUACAGCCCAUGUUUGUUUUUAAAAUGUUGCCAUUUCAACCAAGGGGCCCAGGCAAGAUUGGGUUACAGCCCUCCAAGCCCUUCCCUCAGCCAGAAGAAUGGCCAAGGCCUGCCUGGAAGGAGUCCAAGGGAAUGUAUACAGUACAGUUGUUGCUGCUGGGAGGGGAGGACCUGUUAAAUUAGCUGGCCGUAAAUAAUUUCAGAAGCAUUUUCACAGUGUGUGGGGUUGUCUGAAGAGCACUGAGGCAACUAUGUUGGGGAUUGAUUUAAUCAGGCUGGCUGUGAUGUCUGUGCAUCCCCAAAGGCUGAAGGGAGACAGAGCCCCAGAACCUAGAAAAGUUACCUUUUAUUGCAACUCCUUGCAAACUCAGCCAGCAUGGCAACUGCUGUCUGCUAUACUGUUCUUUAAACAGAUUUUCUGCUUCCUGAUUGUAGAUGACUUCACACCACUGAGGUCUUGAAUGCGCUUUGAGUUUCGGUCUGAAUUAUUAGGGAGCUACCCAGUGUGCCACAUCCAAAUUAAAAAUAUGGCCAUUAUUUUAUAUAGCUCCUUUAAAGUUCAGACUAAAAUCCAAAGGCCAUUUACAGCCUCACUGGCACGGGAGGUGUCAACCAUAAAGGUUUUACCAUUAAUCUAUUUGACUUUACUUGGUAAAAGGUUCCUCCUCUUUCUAGGAUUGUCAGAGUGAAAGCUCGAGAUGAAUCCUAUGCCUUUAAUAGUUGUGUAGAAGUGGUAAUUUGUUAUACAAACAGAUAACAAUAAAUGUUUUCUGAAUUGCCUCUUCUACAUAACCAUUGAAGGUACAGGAACCAAAGGUUCGCUUUGGCAACCCUGCUGGCACAAGGACCUACCUGGCAAGGAAAAGCAACACAACUCCUUCUUCUUCAUCUCAUAUCUGUCUUUCCAGUCAAGCUUGUUUUUUACUUCCAUUGCUUCCUUCAUGAUUUAGGUCAUGACCAGCUCAGGAUGUUUUGCUGCCUAGUUUUUUUUAAAAAAAGAUGUGCACCUGAAACCACAGCAAAGCUAAGGCACAUGGUAUUCCAAGCCAGCUGAAGUAAUACUUCUCAGGUCUUCCCCCUUAUUGAGUGAUUUCAGUUCUGCUAAAACCACAGGUUUGGCGGCCUGGCAUGUCUGGCUUCCCAGAAGGCCAAAUCAGACACAGACAUGUAGAAGGCAAAAAUAGAUGUUUAUUCUCAUUUGCCAAAGAGGAUGUCAGCAAAGGAAGCACUGACAUAACACAAAUGAAAAUACAGAGCAUUUUUAUCAUUUGACAGCUAUUCAAGAAACUUGCACCAGCAAUUGAUUGGCUCAGAAACUGUCCAGCUAGGAUCUGCAUUCUCAGUGGCUCAGAACUCCAUGGACAUCAUCACUGGUUGGCUCUUCAUAUGACAGUAAAUUCAUAAAGUGUCAUUGGAGUAAUUGAAGUGUCAGUCAGUUUUAAGGGGCGUGGAUCUGAAAGGUGUGGCCUUGGGUAAUUAGUCCUUGAUGAGCUUAAUGGCUGUCUCCAGUGGGAACAAUGGGGUUAGUUUAAAGUACAUAAUGGGUGCUUUAGGCAUGGUAGCCAAGCUGUUCUCAUCAAUAUCUCAGACAAUAUCAAGAAAAUAAGGAAACAGCCCCAGAAACUCUGACUCAAAGACAUUUCGGCAUUGUUGCUGCCCUGACUGCCUUGGUACCCUCCAGCGUUUCCACCUUGCUGCUGUAGGGGUAAUCUGACCACUGGAACAUCGCUAUUGCAAUUUUGAACAUUGCAAUUUUGACGCGGCCUUUAAGAACUACAGCUUACCAUCGCUGUUGGCAGCAUUGGGGUUGCUGUCCACCUUUUACAUUGCCUAUCCCCCUAAGGACCUUCAUUAUGGGCUGAUGCGAGGCCUGUUGCCAGCUUGACGUUCGGACGCACUGUGUACCUGUGCCCAACACCAUCUUGUGGACACAAUUGUAGCUGACUGAGGAGACUAUCGGCUUAGGAAGAUACUUGCCAACAAAUAAUAAGACCUGUGAAUUGGUGUUUGGUAAUAUAAACUGCCUGUUAGAGCUUCCACCCGCUGCCAUUGCUGUCUUCACAGGAAGGAGAGAAGUUCUCACAUCAAAAUUUUAUAUAUAUCAUUUGUUAUAUGUUGUGCCAUUUAAUUUAUUAUUUUGUGUAAUCAGAGAUUGAAUUUUGGGGUCAGAGUUGGGAAUAAGAGUUUAUAGGAUAGACUAAUCAUUGAUCCGAAGAUAGUGCCAAUAAUACAGACUAGAAAUUGGGGCCAAGAAAUCCUUGUUAACAUAAAUGAGAUAACCCUAGGAAGAUUAAUCGAUAAGAGGGUGUGUGGAAGUUGCUGAAAGAAGGUAUGGCCGAAAGGUCUGAAUGAGGAAGGAAGUUGGGAAUAGAGUGGAAUAAUUGGAACCGGACUGGAUUGUUAUUAAGAGGGAUAGAGAAGAAGAUAUUGUAGAACGGAGUGAGAAGAACUUGGAACAUGGAUAAUUUUGAAGAGUUUAGGAAUGUGGAGUUAUCUAAUCUAUGUGAGUUAUUAGGAAGAUCGUUUUCUUUUCUUUUUCAAAAUUUAGAUUCUAUGAUUAAGAAACUUGAUCUUCUUUUUACGGGAAUUUCAUUAUUGUUAAGAAGUUCGACACCUGAAUGCUGCUCAUGGAACCUAGAAGAUGGGCGGGGUUCAAAUUCAAUCAGAGACAACCAAUCCUGGGUUGGAGUUAGGAUGGGACAAGGUGGGGAGGAUAGACAGGGAAAGGAGGAUGUUGUGCAGUUAGACUGUGAAUUGGGAGGGGAGGAACUACGAGGAAAAGGGAAUGGGCAAGAGGGAGCAGCUUUAAGGCCCUCUGAGGACCUCCUACAAGAAGAGCUUAAAGGAAAUUUUCCCACCUCAGAUGGCCAACAACUUGACCUUUUACAAGAACAAUGGUCCUUACACCCCAAUAUGCUGGCAAUCCAGAUCACCGAUUUCCAACUAAACAGGGGCAGAUGGUGCUCUCACAGAUCAGUGAGGAGGUCCUUGGGCCAGAUUUUAAGAAAAAGCCCUGCGGAGGUCAAAAUUAGUAACAUCAAUUGGCUCCGUAGAGAUUAUCAUAGCCAGGAUCGCUCUUCAAUCCUUUUAAUAACAUUUGAGGACAUUUUACUACCUGUAGAGAUCCUGGCUCAUAAACCUCAAUUAAACAUCUGGGGCAUUUAUAUUAAAAGAGUGGUUAGAGACCGAAUUAUUCACCCCCUUAUCCCAGGACUCAAAUUAGGCACUGGGAAUGCAAGUCGUCCCAAAAGCCCACCAGGUCCAUCACAGGAAAUCUCUAUGAGAGAUUCCGUUAGUCCAAUACAGGCCUCAACUCCCUUACAAGAAAAGACCCCUCCCAUUCUAUGGUUAUCAUCAUCGAAUAGCUCUCCUCCACUUACUUCAAACAUUCGAAAUGACAUCUCUCAGCAAUCAAUAUAUGAAUUUCCCCCGUCAGCUUCUCUUUUUAGUAAUAUCCUUACUGGUUCGUUAGAAUCAGAGAGCUGACUAACCUCCUCAGACCUUACACCUGCUAGUCCCAUCCAUGGGGAGGGGGGAGAGUUCCAGAGCCCAGGGAACACUAUCGGGGUUGUGUGGGGUAGGAGAGGGCGCGAUCAGUUCUAUCAACCCAGGGAGAAGCGCACAAGAGUCCUUGCGACCCUGAGGAGAGAUAGCUCAGAUAGCCUACAUGACGGUCCCCCUGGACUCAAGGUCCUGCUGUUAAAUGCCAGAUCCGUAAAUGGUAAAACAACGGCCAUCCAGGAUUUAAUCCUGGAUGAAAAAGCGGAUCUGACAUGCAACACCGAAACAUGGUUGGAUGAAUUGGGAGGGGUCAAUCUCACCCAGCUGUGUCCUCCGGGUUUCGGGGUGCACCAGCAGGCCAGGUCUGGGGGGCGGGGAGGCAGGGUUGCGGUGGUCUAUCAAGAUUCCAUCUCUCUGACCAGGUGCCCCGUUCCACAAUCUUCUGGGUUUGAUUGUGUCUAUCUGAGAGUUGGAAACCGGGACAGUGUGAUGUCUCAUGGACCUUGUAGUCCCGUUCCUAGUGCUAUUGUGGAAGAUGAGGAGGAAAACAUGGGAUUUCCACCGGUUCAGCUUGAAUCGGAGCCUCGCCACCUGGAGGAUGUUUGUCCUCAGGAAGUUAACCAAACAAGCCUUGGGCAGAAUUCUCCCCCAUUUUCCCGAAAGGACAAUUAUAAUAGAGAUAGAGGAGUCAGGGAGGCAAAUCGCCGGAGUCUCAGAAUCGCGGCCAAACAACUAGCUGAUUAGGUCUGCUUCCCUUGGGAAAUUCUAAGGAGUCAUGCAUCUGGACAGAGUUGGGUUUCGCUUCUUGUUCUCCAGGGAAAGUGUUCUGUUGGCGGGAAAACAAGACUCUAUAUAGGGGUUUUGCCGCAAGGGGAACCUUGCGGAGUCAAUUGUUCAGCUUGAGGAGAGAGAUCGUGUGUGGACUUCGUACCCCAGUUCCUUGUUUCCCGGAUCUAGUUCCAAGCCUUGCCUUGUUUCACGGAUCAAGUUUCCAGCCUUGCCUUGUUUCACGGAUCAAGUUUCCAGCCUUGCCUUGUUUCAUGGACUUCUUUGGACUCAGUUCUUGUUUCAUGUUUGCCUCGUUUCAAGCUUUGAUCUAGCCAAGAAUCAAGUCUAUUUUCCAGCCCUUGUGGUCAAGCUACUUUGGACUUUAAAGACCCUGUCAUUCCCCACACUAUUGCUUGGCAAGGUGUGUGUUUCGGUUAAUGGAUUAUAACUUUGGACUCUAAUAUCUUAUAUUGGACAAUACAUUUCUGGACUAUAUUUGACCUCAUCUGAAAGGUCUGCUUCUGAACUAUAUUCUUCACUUGUUUUUAUUGACUUUAUAUAUUUCUUUAAUAAAGAUAUUAGAUAGAA